AUUGAACGCUGGCGGCAUGCUUUACACAUGCAAGUCGAACGGUAACAGGCCGCAAGGUGCUGACGAGUGGCGAACGGGUGAGUAAUGUAUCGGAACGUGCCCAGUCGUGGGGGAUAACGCAGCGAAAGCUGUGCUAAUACCGCAUACGAUCUAUGGAUGAAAGCGGGGGACCGUAAGGCCUCGCGCGAUUGGAGCGGCCGAUAUCAGAUUAGGUAGUUGGUGGGGUAAAGGCCUACCAAGCCGACGAUCUGUAGCUGGUCUGAGAGGACGACCAGCCACACUGGGACUGAGACACGGCCCAGACUCCUACGGGAGGCAGCAGUGGGGAAUUUUGGACAAUGGGCGCAAGCCUGAUCCAGCAAUGCCGCGUGCAGGACGAAGGCCUUCGGGUUGUAAACUGCUUUUGUACGGAGCGAAAAGGCUCUCUCUAAUACAGGGGGUUCAUGACGGUACCGUAAGAAUAAGCACCGGCUAACUACGUG
rnacentral:rRNA from 1 species